UACAGAGGGUGCAAGCGUUAAUCGGAAUUACUGGGCGUAAAGCGUGCGUAGACGGUUAUGUAAGUCAGAUGUGAAAGCCCCCGGGCUUAACCUGGGAAUGGCAUUUGAGACUGCAUAGCUAGGGUGCGGAAGAGGGAAGCGGAAUUUCCGGUGUAGCGGUGAAAUGCGUAGAUAUCGGAAGGAACACCAGUGGCGAAAAGCGGCUUCCUGGUCCAGCACCGACGUUCAGGCACGAAAAGCGUGGGGAGCAAACAG
rnacentral:rRNA from 1 species